AAUUCAAGCUCUAAUUUCAAACCUGCAUCUCUCUCUCUCAAAUAUAGUCAUGAGGAAAAGAAAGGGGUGUCAAUCAAAAACCCUAAUUCACUCUAACGGAGAACAAGAAGAUGAAUUCAGAGAUCAACAGUCUAAUGAUUCAGAGAUCAACCCGAAUUCAACCAAUUGAUCAAAAUUUCAGGCCAACAUUCAUCCAGAUCGUGAAGAAAGGGGCAGUGGAGUAGUUCUCACCGGUGUCGUACCUCGCGACAUUUGUGAACUGCGGGAUAUGGGUGUUGUACGGGCUGCCAAUGGUGCAUCCACACAGCUUAUUGGUCAUCACAAUCAACGGUGCGGGUUUGUUCAUCGAGACCGUUUAUCUGCUCCUUUUCUUGAUCUACUCUAACCACAAGCAGAGGAUCAAGGUGCUGCUCAUAAUGCUGGCUGAGAUAGUGUUUGUUGGGGUUUUAUCUGCUUUGGUGUUGACUGUGGCUGAAAUAGUGUUUGUUGGGGUUUUACAGCAGCAAUCAUCCAUGGUUGCCCAACCUAAGAAAACCCUCUACGAUUUCACAGUCAUGGAUGCUAAGGGUAACGAUGUAGACCUUAGCGUACACAAGGGAAAAGUUGUACUUAUUGUUAACGUUGCGUCCAAGUGUGGGCUUAUAAACAACAACUAUGAUGAACUGAAUCAGAUUUAUUUGAAGUACAAGGAGAAAGGGCUUCACUGAUUUGGGAAUGUGAUGGAAGAGAAUAUGUAACAUCAACUAUCCAGACCGUAGACGCUUUCUUCUUUCUCAAAUCAUCCAAACCUGCUUGAAAGACUUGUGAAUAUUGCAGAGGAAGAUAAUGAGAAAUUCUGUUUAAAAGUCAAGAUCGCAUUGACCGGUAAUUUAAACUCAACGUCUUUAUCUCGUCUUGAAUCAUUUCUUCUCGUCGUUUUUAGAUUAUAAAUGGCUAAAGACUUGCAAGAGAUUUGGUUUUGUAAUAACUUCGUUUGGAUUUGUCAUCUUAUGACUUACGAGAGAUCGUUUGGUUUAAUUUGUUGUUAAUUUUGAUUUUUGCGAAUGAGUUGAUGGCGGCUGCGGCGGAGAAGCGAAUGGCAGCAUCUGCAUCGGCUGCUGUGGCGAAGAGUGGUUUUCAGUAAGUUCCAAAUCCUAUGUGUAGAAAUUGUGCUGAGUACAAAUAUAUUAAUCAACAGAACGCAGAUGGAUUUGCAAGGACAACCAGGAUAAAGCUUUUAUAAAUUGCUCAGUUCCACAAAGAGAAAUCAAACGCUGACAUUAACGAGGAGUUGGAUUUAUUUGAAGGAUCUUGUGAGGAAGAUGCUUGUAAAAAUACUCGAGGGAACUCCAGUCAGUUGCCUCAAAAGCAAUCUACAGCAGGUAACCUUUGGCCCAUCGGAUUUGAGUACUAGAAAGGGAUUUCGAGAUGUCAAUGAAUUUGGCGAUUCGGUAUCGGGGAAGCCGUUGCAGUUAACAAAUGAGUCCAGUGAAUUAACUCAAGUUCAAACCAUUUGGGCCGCAUUGCUUUGGCGAAUCAAAACAACGAGCAAGAGAAUUGUUUUUUGUGAAGAUGUUUUCAGAUUAAAAAAUGUGAGAACUUGAAGAAAGUCAACUUUGAGAGUAGGUUAAUUAUGCCGGUUUUGGAUUGAACAUCGUCACUAGAUGUUGUAUGAAACUGGAUUGGCUGGUGCUUACGAAUGGUAUAGAGGUGAAGUUACAAUGGAACGUGCUUAGUGUGAUUGAAGCUCCUACUGCUGCGAUACUGUACCGGAGAGUCCAGCCGCUCAGCAUCUGAUUCGGAUCAUUCAACGGAAUAUAAUCGGAGAUGGGAACCAGAAUCUCUGAAUCUCUAGAGGUUAUACCGAUCUUAAACUGGGAAACCGAGACAUUCAGCAAGCUCGCGUUAGCAUUCAUAAUAUUCUCAUCAGUCGCAAUAUUCCCAACCGUAUUUAUACCAUCUAUACCCUCCAUGUGGGUCACAGGCAUGAGCUUCGAUUAAACAUAGGGAUUUUACUAAUAAUGUUCGGUGUCACUAUCGGAGCAACGCUUCCUUAUUUCAACGGUUCCCUAUUUUACAACAAAAUUCAAGUGAGUAUCUUGAUCAAUUUAUCAACAUGAUCAAAUGUAAGCGGACACGCUAGAAAUUUGCUAAAGAGUGAAGAUCAAACUAAGUACAUGGACUGUUUUAAAGAGUCAAGAUUCAUGUCAUGUUAUUUGAUCAUGAGCUCAGUGAUGAAGCUGAGUUGUAGAUGAGGAUAAGGAGGAACGUCUCUUGAAGAUUCUAAGAUGGAUAGAAAGAUGCUUAAACCAAAGUGCAUCGAUUGCUACAGAUGAAUUAAAACACUCUAUCAAACACCAAACACUCAUAUUGAUGGUGAUGUUGAUUGGUCAAACCUCUCCAGACUCUUCUUUGUAACUGCUACCUUUUUCAACUUUCAUGCCAUUCGCAAUCUUCUAAUAGAUUCUAUGAUUGUCAUAGAGGUGGAGUAUAGUUGGAGAAAGAUUUGAUUUUUUUUGACUCAGUUCGACUUUCACUUUCUCUAUUAUUUUUUACGACAUUUAUGUGAAGAGUGAAUACGGGUGGUCCCGGUUCGUCUUGGAUGGGAGACGAGGUUUUACCGAUUAUUCCACUGUUGUGCCUUCGGACGGGUGGAGGUCGGGUUUCCGUGCAUUUGGGAGAGCCAAGAGGCUGGUGACUGUCAAGUAGUCGACCUUGGUUAUAACACCCGAUAUCACGAUGGUUAACACGUCGUUCCUUACCAUUAAAAAAAAAUAGAUUCUAUGAUUAAAUUGUGCUUCUUGUAUAAGCCG